GCCUCCUUGGCUAAGUGGUAAAGCGUCGCACUUGUAGUAACUACUAGAUAUGCGAAGAUCGGUCGUUGUAAGUUGAACCGCGCUUGGUUCA